rnacentral:misc_RNA from 1 species
GAAAAACGAAGGGGCAAUCAUAGUAGAAAUCAAACUAAAAGAACUGGAACAAAAGUCAGCUGAAGUGAGCACAGAGUGGAGCAUCGUACCUGGGCGUCAAGGGCGACCAACACUGGCAUCGAUUCAACCUGGUGGAACUGUUUCAUUUGAACAUCGGAACAUAAAUGGGUUGAACAGAUCCUUUCUUGGUUCGGUGACAUCCAGUAAUCUUCUCAAUCCACAGGACGAUCUUGCUUUCAAGUUGGAAUAUGUGCAUCCCUAUAUUGAUGGAGUGUUUAAUCCUCGAAACCGCACCUUCCGG